rnacentral:lncRNA from 10 species
ACUGCCUGUCCGUCCCCUGCCGGGCGGCCUGACCCAGCCUCUUGUGCAGAGACACCUGGGGCUCCCCGGCAAGAUCCCUUCUAAGCAUUCCUUCUUAUUUUGCAGAUGGGGAAACUGAGGCACGGAGCUGGACAGUGACUCAGACACCAGGUGAACACUGGCUUUUGAGGGCAGGGUUGGGACUCGUGGGGGCAGCAAUGCCAGCUGGGUCAUCACAGUGAGGAGUGAGCUCUGACUCCCAGGAGGGUACAUAAGGAGCUGCCUGGAGUGGAGCUGAGAGCUCAGGUCUGGGCUCAGCCAGUCCAGAGUGCAAAUCUACUGUCCCUUCCUAGCUGUGUGAUCUUGGCAAGUGACUUCCCCUCUGGGGGAGGGGAGGGCUCAGUUUUCCCAUCUGUGAAGUGGAUCAGAGCUUUCCUGUCAAGGUUAGGGGUCAUCCAGCACUGCUCCUACCCACUGCUAUGAACUCUUAUACAUGCCUAAAAACCCCACAUUCCAUGCCCCCUCCUCCAAUCUAGACUCCCUCAGCUCUUGUCCCUCCACCUAGUCCAGUUCUGACUCUGUG